rnacentral:piRNA from 1 species
UGCUCAAUAAAAAGUGAGCAGCGCCUGC